rnacentral:rRNA from 1 species
UACGUAGGGCGCAAGCGUUAUCCGGAAUUAUUGGGCGUAAAGAGCUCGUAGGCGGUUUGUCGCGUCUGCCGUGAAAGUCCGGGGCUCAACUCCGGAUCUGCGGUGGGUACGGGCAGACUAGAGUGUGGUAGGGGAGACUGGAAUUCCUGGUGUAGCGGUGAAAUGCGCAGAUAUCAGGAGGAACACCGGUGGCGAAGGCGGGUCUCUGGGCCGAUACUGACGCUGAGGAGCGAAAGCCAGGGGAGCAAACGGG